AGUGAACGCUGGCGGUAGGCCUAACACAUGCAAGUCGAACGGCAGCACAGUAAGAGCUUGCUCUUACGGGUGGCGAGUGGCGGGCGGGUGAGGAAUACAUCGGAAUCUACUUUUUCGUGGGGGAUAACGUAGGGAAACUUACGCUAAUACCGCAUAAGACCUACGGGUGAAAGCAGGGGAUCUUCGGACCUUGCGCGAUUGAAUGAGCCGAUGUCGGAUUAGCUAGUUGGCGGGGUAAAGGCCCACCAAGGCGACGAUCCGUAGCUGGUCUGAGAGGAUGAUCAGCCACACUGGAACUGAGACACGGUCCAGACUCCUACGGGAGGCAGCAGUGGGGAAUAUUGGACAAUGGGCGCAAGCCUGAUCCAGCCAUACCGCGUGGGUGAAGAAGGCCUUCGGGUUGUAAAGCCCUUUUGUUGGGAAAGAAAAGCAGCAGGUUAAUACCCCGCUGUUCUGACGGUACCCAAAGAAUAAGCACCGGCUAACUUCGUG
rnacentral:rRNA from 1 species